rnacentral:rRNA from 1 species
CAACAGGGAUUGCCUCAGUAACGGCGAGUGAAGCGGCAAAAGCUCAAAUUUGAAAUCUGGCACCUUCGGUGUCCGAGUUGUAAUUUGAAGAAGGUAACUUUGGAGUUGGCUCUUGUCUAUGUUCCUUGGAACAGGACGUCACAGAGGGUGAGAAUCCCGUGCGAUGAGAUGCCCAAUUCUAUGUAAAGUGCUUUCGAAGAGUCGAGUUGUUUGGGAAUGCAGCUCUAAGUGGGUGGUAAAUUCCAUCUAAAGCUAAAUAUUGGCGAGAGACCGAUAGCGAACAAGUACAGUGAUGGAAAGAUGAAAAGAACUUUGAAAAGAGAGUGAAAAAGUACGUGAAAUUGUUGAAAGGGAAGGGCUUGAGAUCAGACUUGGUAUUUUGCAAGCUUUACCUUCGUGGUGGAGUCCCCUGCAGUUUACUGGGCCAGCAUCGGUUUGGAUGGUAGGAUAAUGACUUGGGAAUGUGGCUUUGCUUCGGUAAAGUGUUAUAGCCCUUGUUGAUGCUACCUGUCUAGACCGAGGACUGCGUCUUUGACUAGGAUGUUGGCAUAAUGAUCUUAAGUCGCCCGUCUUGAAA